rnacentral:rRNA from 1 species
UGUGACUGCGUACCUUUUGUAUAAUGGGUCAGCGACUUAUAUUCAGUGGCAAGGUUAACCAUCUAGGGGAGCCGUAGGGAAACCGAGUCUUAACUGGGCGUUCAGUCUCUGGAUAUAGACCCGAAACCAGGUGAUCUAGCCAUGGGCAGGUUGAAGGUUGAGUAACAUCAACUGGAGGACCGAACCGACUAAUGUUGAAAAAUUAGCGGAUGACUUGUGGCUAGGGGUGAAAGGCCAAUCAAACCUGGAGAUAGCUGGUUCUCCCCGAAAGCUAUUUAGGUAGCGCCUCGGACGAAUACUACUGGGGGUAGAGCACUGUUAAGGCUAGGGGGUCAUCCCGACUUACCAACCCUUUGCAAACUCCGAAUACCAGUAAGUACUAUCCGGGAGACACACGGCGGGUGCUAACGUCCGUCGUGGAGAGGGAAACAACCCAGACCGCCAGCUAAGGUCCCAAAUUACUACUAAGUGGGAAACGAUGUGGGAAGGCUCAGACAGCCAGGAUGUUGGCUUAGAAGCAGCCAUCAUUUAAAGAAAGCGUAAUAGCUCACUGGUCGAGUCGGCCUGCGCGGAAGAUGUAACGGGGCUAAGUAGUAAACCGAAGCUGCGGCAAUAUACUUUUGUAUAUUGGGUAGGGGAGCGUUCUGUAAGCGGUUGAAGGUGUGUGGUAACGCAUGCUGGACGUAUCAGAAGUGCGAAUGCUGACAUGAGUAACGAUAAAGGGGGUGAAAAACCUCCUCGCCGGAAGACCAAGGGUUCCUGUCCAACGUUAAUCGGGGCAGGGUAAGUCGACCCCUAAGGCGAGGCCGAAAGGCGUAGUCGAUGGGAAACGGGUUAAUAUUCCCGUACUUCUUACAAUUGCGAUGGGGGGACGGAGAAGGCUAGGUGGGCCUGGCGACGGUUGUCCAGGUUCAAGUGCGUAGGCUU